ensembl:rRNA 5S_rRNA 5S ribosomal RNA
GUCUGCAGACACACCACCCUGAAUGUGCCCAAUCUUGGAAGUUAAGCAGGGUUGGGCCUGGUUGGUACUUGGAUGGAGGAAAUCUACUCACUUAGGAAUCUUUCUUUGCAGAAA